GGCACCGUGCGCGCGGCAGCAUUUGGCCUGUUCGGGGCCCUGGCCGGCUCAGCCCACCACAAGCACCGGCAGCUCUUCACAGGGGAAGUGAGGAGCAGCUGGGCUGCUCUCAUGCUCCAUGGGUUGGACCCAAGCCCCGAGGCAGCCACGGCCUGUACGCUGCCUUCCAGGUGUGCGCCCCAUUCAUAGGCCUCACGGGCUUGGGGGAGCCUUUGACAGUAGGCUCCUGACAGGUGCCUCCGGGGAGAGGCACAAACACUUGAUGGGACACAUCUGCAAACAGUUGGGCCAGAAGGACCCUGUGCUGCUGGACAGUCUCGUCACUGAGACCUGCCUGCACCUCCGCAGCCAUGGGAGGUGAUUAGACUGGCAGCAGCCAAGCUGGCAGGGAUCCUUGCAGAGAACAUGGAGGCCCAAAGCUGCUGUGCUCCCUCCAGGCGCUGCAUGGUGAUCCCAGCACUGCUGUCGAGAUUGCUGUGGCAGAAGCUGUCAGCACCAUCAUCCAGAAGCAGCGGGUAGCCCUGCAGGAGCCAGGUCCCAGCCACACAGCCCCCAGAGGCUGAGGGAGGCUGCUCUUUGUGAGGAAGCUCUUCAGGAGGAAGGGGAGACCCCUGGCAGGGCCCCUAGAUGCCGCAGAGUCAGAUAGCAUCUCCAGCAGCUGAUGUUGGAAGGAGAUGGGUGCUGCUGCCAGAGCAGAGGAUCAGGGCCUUUGGAACCGCGUUCCCCGCACUCAAGGGACUCUGGACAUUGAUGUGUAUAUAUGUGUAUAUAUUCUGUGCCUUUCCUGUGCCUGGCUUUGUUAUCUUGUCGGAGUCUGAGUCCAGGGCCCCAGUCAGUCCCAGCCCUGAGUCAGCAGGAGCUGGGAGCGUGGGCAUCUCACAGACUGGGCUGCUAAAGGUGCAGGGGCCAAAAUAUGGGAACCAUGGGGAAAGUCCCCUGGCACAAUUGAGUGCCCAUGAGGUGAGAUGGCAGCUGGGCGGUGCUAUUGGCCAGGUGAGUUGGCAGGCUGGCCUGUGCCAGGAAAGGAGGUUGUGAUUUAGCCCUGGCUUUUUAUCUAGAGUGUCCUCCCCUACCUUUCCCUGCUCUCCUGGGUGAAGUCCAGCUCCUGCCAUUGCCUCUGAAAUGCUGCUCCAGGUAGGACAGUGCUGUUGCAUGGGGGAGCGCAAUGCAAUUCCAUCGGAGGAUUCUCUGCUACUUUCAGGCUCCAGGGUUUGCUUAUUUGACCUGAUAAAAGCUCCUUUGGGGCUGUUCUUUUAAACCCCAAACCCCUCUAAAGAGACUCUCUCAGCCUCCCUUCCCCCACACUGUCUCCCAGCCUACUCCCACCCUAUCAGGCUACCAGAGGUUAGCAGAGGCUCAAGAAAUGGCCACCAGCACUGCCUUGCUCUGCUGUGAUGGAGAGAGAAGCAAGCUUCACGGACCUUAGGGCCUAGGGGACAUUUUGACCUGGAAAAGGCGAGUGUUAGGUGCUGUGAGUAACACGGGCUCUCCGUGCGCGUCUGUCUCUGUGGCUGUCUCAGUGAGAGCAGCAGCCUGCUCCUUCCAGCUAAAGAAUCAUAGAAGGGUAGGACUGAAAGGGACAUUGAGAGGUUGUCUAGUCCAGUCCCCUGCACUCAAGACAGGACUAA